rnacentral:misc_RNA from 1 species
GGAACAAUGCCUGUUUUACGAGCUCGGAACGAUGCCUGUUUUACGAGCUCGCUCACGGAAUGUAUUAUUAAUGUGUCUUCAUGUACUGUAGGUAUAUAUGAAGAAAACAAAACUAGUUUCUUGCGGAAACUUGAACACCUUUGCUUCAAGAAAAUCAUUAAAAUCGAACAGUUAACGAGUGAUUGAUUGCGUGUAACGUGAAGUGAAACCCAGAAAUUGGGUCACCUAAAAAAACUGCAUCAUCUACACGUCUGCGUCAUCUACACGUCUGCGUCAUCUACACGUCUGCGUCAUCCAGAUACCUGCGUCAUCCAGAUACCUACGUCAUCUACACGUCUGCGUCAUCCAGACGUCUGCAAUAAGGUGCCAGCCAAGGCCAGAGAAGCAGCAGCAGCAGCAGCAGCAGCAGCAGCAGUAGCAACAGCAGGUCAGCGGUUGAGCUGCAGCAGCCUCCAGUAUGCGUGGCUCCCUGCUGCUGCAAGCCCUUCUCCUGCAGCUCACAGACGUGCUGUUGGUGGAGAGUAAGCUGAGGACGAACCCAACUGGCAACAACCAGGUGGAGGCCCAGGCUGUAGGAAUGGCGGACUGGGCAGCCUUUUCCACCCCCAAAGGCCCACACUUCGCCCCUGACACCCCCACCUGCGUCACGGCUGCUGUAGGAGCCCCGGCUCACGUUCCCUGCAAGGCCAGGAACCUGGGCUCCAAGUCGGUGUCGUGGAUCCGUCACCGGGACCUGCACGUGCUGACGGUGAGCUCCUUCACCUUCACUAACGACGAGAGGUUCUCGGCCCACCGGGACCCCGCCACAGGUGACUGGGUCUUGGUGUUGCGGCGGCCGCUGCCCUCGGACUCAGGAUUUUACGAGUGUUCCAUCUCCACCAAGCCCGUCACCACAAUUAGUGUCAAGCUCGAUGUUGUUGUGCCGACGGCUGAGCUGCUGGGGGACGGGGAAGUGUACCUGGACCGAGGCAGCACUCUUAAUCUAACCUGCGUCGUCCACUUCAGCCCAACUCCGCCGGAAUUCAUCCUAUGGUACCACCGUGAUAAGCUGGUGAACUACGGGUCACGUGAGGGGCGAGAGAUCAAGGUAGCGACGGUCCACAAGGGAGACACCACCCGCUCCUCUCUCCUGGUGCACAACGCCACCGUCUGGGACUCUGGCAGGUACUCCUGUAAGCCUUCAAAUGCCCAGAAGAUUUCCAUCGACGUCCACGUACUCAAGAGCGAGACACCCGCAGCCAUGCAAACCACGACCAGCAGCGCCCCUCCAGCCGCCGCCAGCCACCUCCUAUCACAGGUCUUUGUCACCGCCUUCUGUGUCCUCGCCGCCGCCGCCCACACGCCCGACGUCGCAUCAUUGCUUAUCUUCAUCUCCUCGGGCCGCCCGUUCCCCCUUUUCACUCUGUUUACCAACAGAUAAGGAGACAGGGACCCCCCCCCCUCUCUCUCUCGCCUUGUCUGUGGUUGAGUACACGCCUCUUAGAUCUCUGGAGAAGAGGCAGAAAUGGGAGGGCGCUGUGGCUGUGUAAUGCCUCAUAUAGAGAUACAGGAGUGCUCACUCCUCGCUACACACACACACACGCUCAACUGUGUCAUUAGUUAGGUGUAUAUCCAGUUAGAGUUCAGGUAUCACUGAACUUCUCAGUCACGUGUUUGUGUAAAAACAACACACCAACAGAUGUAUUAUUAUAAAAUUGUAUAAAUAAAUUUAUAUGUAUAUAUUAAAUACUGCCUCAGCCAUGAGCCAGUGUAUGUUGACAAUCUGGUUGGCUAAGGUUCCGUGUGUCUACCUUCCUUAUGUUUUAGGUCGCUUGUUUCCACACCAAUUAUGUCUUGCAGUUUGUUGAUUUGCUAUCAUCAGGCGUUGAGUAUAUUCUCACCACGCACCCUCCCCCUCCCCCCUCCCUUCCAUCCCACCACCUAACAUGGGAUAGACCAACACAUUUGUAUACUGGCUGGUUCCCCCUCACCCAACACGGGAGACAUCUCCCGUCACGCAGGGUGCAGUCGCACCUCCACAGAUCUCCAGUAUCAUCUAUUGAUACUGCUAAUGCCUCAAAAGGGCCACCAUUUACGGGCUAUUCAUGCCCGUGCCACCUUUUGGGUGGCUUAAUCUUUAUCAAUCAAUCAAUCACUUCACCCAACCAAUCGGCCUCGCUUCUUGCAGGUCGUCGCUCGAUCCCCCGAUGGUCCAAGGAGCUGGGGGGGCACCGUUCCUUUCCUCUGCCCUCUGCUCGUCUUCAUAGCCCUUCUAAGUGAAAUAUAUAAUCACUCUGGCUUCUUGUUUUAUCCUCAUUCAUACCUUAUGUUAACUUCUGUUGCUGUCUGUCGGUGUUCCACUUUGUGAGUCUACCUGGACGGUUCACCUGACAGCGGAUCGAAGGAACUGACACAGGAAUUAAAUUGAGUGUCAGUUCUAACGUCAGCGGAGAAGGGAAACCAAGUGACCAUUAGCUGCUGUAUGCGAACCAUUUAUUAAUAUAAAGCAAAAUUGAAGCAACAUUCAUAAAGGCAGGAGAAAGUUUUCACAAAACACACACACACACACACACAGGGGGGGGGGGGGAACUUUCACAUUACACAAAGCCAGGAGGAAAGUUUAAACACUCACAAACAGAGGGGAAAGCUUGCACAGCACAUAGAGUAGGGGAGAGUUUACACUACACAUACACAGGGCAUGGGAGAGUUUACACAUCACAUACACAGGGCAGGGGAAAGUUUACAGAGCACACAAUGAAAAAUGUACACAACAGAGUCAAGGUAAGUUUACACAACACACAAUGAGAAAUGUACACAACAUAGAGUCAAGGUAAGUUUACACAACACACAAUGAGAAACGUACACAACAUAGAGUCAAGGUAAGUUUACACAACACACAAUGAGAAAUGUACACAACAUAGAGUCAAGGUAAGUUUACACAACACACAAUGAGAAAUGUACACAACAUAGAGUCAAGGAAAGUUUGCACAACACACACAUAGGCAGGAAAAGAUAAUUAUUACAUUUACCUAUUGCUAGAUAAUACUUUUAAAUUUUUAAAUUACUUACUUUUAAAUUAAUUAUUUUUAUUUUAUAAAAAUUAAGUAUUUUAAAGUAUACUUUUAAAUUAUUUGAUUUCAUUCCCAUCAAUAUUGAUGUUUUCUAUAAUUUAAUAACAUUUAUAGAUUCACAAUACGCACCAAAUAUUUUGAAUAGCAUUGCAAAGUCUUCAUAAAUUAUUUAAUAACGAAAACCCCUGAAGUGAGACUUAUUGUGGGAGGAAUUACAUCUUCGUCUCAGGCCUCAGUAAUUUAAUUCAGGCCUAUUUACCUCAGUAAAUAGAUGAACAGUUUCAAAAUAAACAGCACCAACGUUUCACUUGUUCACCCUUGAUAUAUGGUUUAAAAUUCGUAGAUUUAGCUAGCUGUAUCCUGUCGACCAAAACAUCCCACAACGGAGGUCAUUUCACUACGUAGUUCGAUCAUUUGUAAGGGCCAAUCUUAGUUCGUGGUUGACAAGACGGGUCAAAUGUCGUGGUGUCAAGAAGCGAAGGUGUGCAACUUGCAAAGGUUAAGUGGUCAAAGUGUGAGAGUGAGCUGUCUAAUUUCUUCAAACUCUGCAAUCUCUCACUUUCUUAACUUUACGAUUCGAAAAUGAUGUAUCAAAGUCAUCAGUACGGGACUAUACUCUGAAGUCUGACAUACAGGCUAUGGUCGCGUUAGUUGAAAAUUCACAAUUUGUCGCUAUAUAUUUGUAAACUAAUUGUUUGUCUGUAUUUUGAACAUGUUGCAUGUAGUGAUAUUUUCCCAUUAUAAAAUGAUAACUAUUAACUUUUUAUCGAGAACUUUAACUUAAAAAUCAAUAUUUAUCUGCAUAUAGAAGAAAAUGUUCUAUUUUACAUUACUAGAAGGUCAAACAUGUUUUUCAAAUAUUUGAAAUGUUUAUUAUCACCAAAAAGUAUAAAUGUGAUUUAGCCAUUAGACAACGGUCAAAUAAUGACUAAAUACAGUAAAUCCAAUUUUAAAUUGCCAAUGUUAUAAUAUUAGAAUCGUGAUCUCACGAAAAAAUAUAAUUAAUCGCAGUGAGUUGUGCAAAUAUUUACAAAAAUGUAAGAAUGAAUGAAUUAUCAGGGGACAGCCCCUAGCCAUUACGACUAUACAGCACUGAGAAGGGAUCAGGAUAAGGAUUUGUGAUAGGACUGGGGAAAGGACUGGUGUCCAACCGCUUGGACGGUCGGGGAUUGAACGCCGACCUGCAUGAAGCGAGACCGUUGCUCUACCGUCCAGCCCAAUAACUGGGCUGGACAGCCCAAUGUAAGAAGAUAAACAUUGUGAUGUACGGGUAACCAGUGAACAACGUGACGUUAGCCAGCGGGCACAGUACCCAAGAGUAACGACAAUCCAACGUUAUUCAAUGUUGAAUUAACGCUGGUAACGGUGACUGGACGUUGAGCCAAGUAACUGUUUAAUAUUGUCCUACUCGGUAUGAAUUUAUACCCUGAACAAACCACAGCUAAAAUUAUUGUCUUGCCUAAUAGCUAGAACUGCACUACUUGGGCUAGUAAAUAAGGUCCUAUUUGCUUAAUAGCCAGAGCGAUUUUGGUUAUUUUAAAAUAUUUCUUUACAAAAUCGAUUCAUUCCAGUCACUGUUAAUAUAUUAGGAACAUUAAUUAUUGACUUAUUCGGUUAGGUAACGUUAAGUAAGGUUGGCUAGCUCAAAUUUUUGUUAGUUUUACUAAAAACAAAUCGUUAUCAUAUAUAAUACAGCAUAACCAUCAGCCUCCCGUAUUAAAAAAUAUUUGAAAACUUUAAUAUUUAUGGAAAAUUCAAUAAUUUUUAGAAUAAUAAUGCAACACUCAGCCAUAUUUCAGCAAGUUUUAGAAACAAAAAUGAAUUGGAAGCUGAAUUUCUUCCAGUGCUAUCAAGGUCAGGUAAUUUGAGUUGCAGAACAAUUUUCAUGGUUCGCAUCCCUCCACACUACCUGUUUCUAAAGAAAUUACGACAAUUUCAGUUUGUUCUUAAAUUUUACCUUAAAGCACUCCCGUUAAAUGUAACCCUCGAUUGACAUAAUACAGCUUGAAAGAAGAGUCAGAAUGUCUACGUUACCUGAGUGUUAGUUUUGGUUGAAAGAGGUUGGGUUGAGUUUGCGUUAGAUUCAGUUGGGUUGAAUCUGACGAUAGUGUUUUGAUUCGCGAUAUUCUGAAAUGCGGUUGUGUUGAAAGUAGUAGUGACCAGCGUCACACACCGAGGGGGAUAACAUGGGAUGACUUACUACCCCGGGUGUUGGGUACUACUACAGGUGUUGAAACACCUCCAGAAGCAUUGAAACACUGCCCUAGACCCAGAAACACUACCACAGAUGCACAAACAUUACCACAGGUGUUGAAAUACUACCACGGGUGUUGAAACACUAAUGCAUGUGUUGAAACACUACCAAAUAGUACCGAGAGAGAGUAGUUCUUUAGAACGUACUUCAUCGGGUCUAAGAAAGUGUAGUUAAGACCAGCCAGAAAAUACGGUCCCAUACAGACGCAAGUUCCCAUUCUCACACUUUUUGUGUGGUCUGGUCAACUCCAAAAGUAAUCAUCCGUAAGAGUGAGCACGUCCAGCUUCUUGAGACCACAAAGAACAAUAGAGACCAUCACCUCCAGGUGAUCAUCUUAUUACAUACUUCUCAUUAUUUCAAGUAGAUCAUCAUGCCUGAUAAUUUCCAUCACCACAGUGAAGUCCAACAUAACAGCUCCCAUCACCCAUAGAUGAAUAUGACAGUUCCCAUCACCCGUAAGGAGAUGAACAUGACAGCUCCCAUCACCCGUAAGGAGAUGAACAUGACAGCUCCCUUCACCCAUAGAGAGAUGAAUAUGACAGUUCCCAUCACCCGUAAAGUGAUGAACAUGACAGCUCCCAUCAUCCGUAAGGUGAUGAACAUGUUCCCAUCACCUCCGGUCUGACCAACAUAGCUGACAGUUCCCAUCACAUUCGUCAAGGCUGUUACCUCCAUCUCUGGGGUGUAUGAGGACGCUCCCUGUAAUUACCAGAACAUAAAAUGUUUUCCCUGGUAGUGCUUGAACCUGAUGGCAUCGUGUGUCGAGGGUAGUUAACGCUCACAUAUCUCCCGCCCUCAUGCCGAGCUUAUGUUAGUCACCGCUCGGGUUUCCGAGCGGUGUUCCGAGCCCUGAAAUACUCACGUUCG